GCCUCUGAUGUAAAACUCUAACAACGUGUAUGUGGUUUAUUCCUCCAUGAGAAGUGCGAGUUACCACGGUAUUUCUGCCCUAGAGAAUGGAACCUGCAACAGCCAUCAGUCAAACAAUACUGUUUGGUCUGGGUCUAAACAGAGCGCGUAGUGUGUGACGUCUUCUUUUGCGCAUGCGGGCCACUUUAAGGGCUGUGAACGGUUCACACUAGAGCGCGUUUGCUGUGACAUUUUAUUUGUAGUGUGAACAAGCAGACAAAAACAUUGGAUUUGAUCAAAAAAUCGGAAUUGAGCAUUAAGACCUGCAGUGUGAACGUAGCCUUUGUUUCAGGUGAGCUGACCUUCUCCAGAGUCUUUAAAGAUACAGACUAUUUUAACAAUCUAAAUUUCUUUUAGAAACAAAGCUAAAAAAAAAAAAAAACCUGAAGACAGAGCCAACUCUUCAUGUGCUGGUUGAAAAUCAGCAGAAAAUGAAGACGUCCAGUACAGAGAGACUGGCUUCUUCAAGCAGAGACUUUAGACUCAGUGCAAGACAGGUGAUGGCACAGAGUGUAUACAUUCUUGGAAUGACUCACGGCAGUCAAAAGUCUUUGAGGGGGCAUCGUGUGACACCUCUAGCAGCUUUGCAACCAGACAAAACUGACUUAUUGAACUGCAUGUUUUUUUUUUUUGUACUUCCUUUUUUAUCUAAUGACAACUAGGCUGAAUGUUUCACUGUACUGGCUGCUAAUAAACAUCUUCAUUUCACUGUGAGAUCUUCACUUGGGUGCAUUUGGGAAUGAGUUUCUGAACAUGGUGACAGUCGGGAUGUUACUGAUGGUCGUCUUUUUUUCAGGUGCUUUGGCUGAUUGUCCUAAUAAAGACCCAGCACUCUUCAUAACUGCACCUAAGAAGCUGGAAGCAUUGAGUGGAUCUUGUUUGCAAAUCCCAUGUAGCUUCAGACCCAAAGAAGAACAGAAAUUUGAAGAAGAAACAAGAGACAAGAAAACAAGAAAAAUUUUUGGAGUGUGGAUUAAAAACAAUUCUGAUAUUACCAAAAACAAAAACAAUGUGAUCUUCAACAGUAAUGGAGCAGUUAGUAUCUAUCCAAUGAGUAUUACUGGGAACCUGAGUCAGAGAGACUGCACCACUCUGUUUUCUAAUUUAACCACAAACUACACAGACACAUACUUCUUCAGAGUAGAGAGUGAACCAUUCAAGGCGACAGCUGCUUGUGAUUCUCUUCAAAUAACAGUCAGAGAUUCUCCUUGGAGGCCCAAUAUUACAAUCCCAGGUGAUCUGAAGGAGAAGGAGUCUGUCACUAUAACCUGCUCAGCUCUCACUCCCUGUCCACACUCCCCUCCUCAACUCACCUGGAAUCUCACACAAGACUCUCACAACAAAACAGAGCAAAACACAGAUGGAAACUUUACAACUAAAAUCCAGCAGACCAUCACUCUGUCAGACACACAUGAUGGAAAGAAGAUCAGCUGCUCUGCCAGAUAUCCUGUGAACCAAGGAAAAGACACCAAGACAGCAGAGACAGAAGAGACUCUCAGUGUUUCAUACGCUCCCAAAGACACCUCAGCAUCCAUCAGUCCAUCAGGUUUGGUGUCAGCAGGCAGCUGGGUGAACCUGACCUGCUCCAGCAGAGCCAAACCUCCAGUCAGCAACUUCACCUGGUUCAAGAAGAGCAGAGAUGGAGCUGUGAAAGUAUCUGAAAGAGAGAUUUACAGCUUCAAUGUAACAGAUGGAGGAGUUUAUUACUGUGUGGCCACUAAUGAUCUGGGUAAUCAGACAUCAGCAGAGAGUCAUGUGGCUGUUGGAGGUAAAGUAAAGAGAAAUAUAAAACUUGGUCAUCAGGACUUUAUUAAAGUCUUUGGAAUCUGCAUAAAGGACAAGUCCAGAAAUUUAGGAAAGCAUCAUGUGUAAAUAUCUGCUUUUACUUUUAUUUUUUAAGUGCAUCUUAUUUUGCUGUUUGUUUUUAUACCUGUACAUGUAAGUAUAUAUCCAACUUAGACCCAUCUCACACAAAUGAAAGGUUCAGUCACUUAUAAGGUUUGGAUUUGGUUCUUUCUUUUGUUUCUCUCUAUAGGAAUGAUCAAACCUGUAUUAUGGGGGACUGCUAUUGGAGCGAUCAUUGGGAUCAUCAUUCUCAUCUGUAUGGUUUUCAUCCUUUGGUAAAACUCCCAGAUACAUGUUUCGGUGUUUUAAAUCCAUAGUAGCUUUUAUUUAACUGGAAAAUAAAACCAAAAGAAAGAUGCAAGAUACCGGUGUGUAUGCCCCACAGGGUUGAUGUCAGGAAUUCUGGAGUAAGUUAGAUGAAGUGUCUCCAGGGUGGUGAUUUAAAAGACUUCAAUGUAGGUGAUGGAAACAAAGGUGAUCGGUAGGUUCUGGGUAGGUGUGGUGUUAAGAGAUGCAGAAGGAUAGAUGGUAAUGGAUUUUGUGAGAGAAUGUAAAUGACUGUGUAAAUGACAUUGUACUUUAAGGAGAGAGGGACAUAGGGUGACAUAUAAGAGUUUAAUACAUCUUGUGGCAAAAGUGCACUCUGAAAGAGACAGGAGACUCUCCAGCUCCACUUUGAAAAGUGAAGUGAAUAAAGGCAGAUUAAAUGUUGGUGGAUGUUGAAGAUGAAACAAUGUUGCACAGAUUUCAUGGAGGAGUUGAGUCUCCAGGUGGCAGACAGGAGUAACCAGAUGGCUGGGAAAGUACAGCCGAAGUAGUGAGGUAAUCUGCCAAGAAAGUGUAUCCUCUGGACAGAAGAAAGCAGGGAAUGAAACUCGGUGUGGAAUGAGGAAGCACAGGAAAGUAUUCAAAGGAAGAGGUUAGUAAUGAAAAGGUUGGAUCAGGGAUAUUGAGAACUGUCUACAUCUAAGACUAAUAUGUAAUUAUUAUUCAACAACUUUCAGACAUUUUUGAAGACAUUUGUUCAAAACUGUAUUGCAAUACAUAAUAAUACUAAUAUUACUUCUUCACGUACUACUGAUGCCAGUAAUAAUAUUAUUAAUAAUGAUUUAAUUAUUGUUAUUAAUAAUAUUAAUAUAACUGAAAUUUUAAAUGUAAAGAGCUCCACUGUUUUUUGUAGGUAUCUGAAGUCAACACAUGUAGCUUCACAUCCGACACAGAGUCUGUCUCUUGAAGAAGCAGCCAGAACAGCAGAAAAUGAAGACGUCCAUUACAAUGAGAUUGAGAUCUCAAAGCAGAGGCCUUCUUUAGACUCAGUGCAGGACAGC